rfam:Otolemur garnettii contig132496, whole genome shotgun sequence.
GGAUGUGAGGGUGAUCUGGCUGCAACAUCUGUCACCCCAUUGAUUGCCAGGGUUGAUUUGGCUGAUCUGGCUGACUAGGCGGGUGUCCCCUUCCUCACCACUCCACGUGUGUCCCUCCCGAAGCUGCGUGCUCGGUUGAAGAGGACGACUUUCGCCGAUAGAGGAGGACUGUCCUUUGGUCAAGGGUAUAUGAGUAGCUGUGCUCCCCUGGUAGAACCUCUAAGGAAAGGUUAAAAAAUAUUUAUAUAAUGGGCACAUACUUUUGGUAAAAAGAUAAAGUGUAACUAU